rnacentral:rRNA from 1 species
AAGUGCGAAUGCUGACAUAAGUAACGAUAAAACGGGUGAAAAACCCGUUCGCCGGAAGACCAAGGGUUCCUGUCCAACGUUAAUCGGGGCAGGGUGAGUCGGCUCCUAAGGCGAGGCUGAAAAGCGUAGUCGAUGGGAAACAGGUUAAUAUUCCUGUACUUGGUAAAGCUGCGAUGUGGGGACGGAGUAGGUUAGGUUAUCGCACUGUUGGAUAUGUGCGUUUAAGUUGGUAGGUGGGAAGUUUAGGCAAAUCCGGACUUCCUUAACACAGAGAGAUGAUGACGAGGCUCUACGGAGCUGAAGUAACUGAUACCACACUUCCAGGAAAAGCCACUAAGCGAAAGGCUUUACUAAACCGUACUGAAAACCGACACAGGUGGUCAGGUAGAGAAUACUCAGGCGCUUGAGAGAACUCGGGUGAAGGAACUAGGCAAAAUAGCACCGUAACUUCGGGAGAAGGUGCGCCGGCGUAGAUUGUAGUCCCUAGCGGGCGAAGGUUGAACCGGUCGAAGAUACCAGCUGGCUGCAACUGUUUAUUAAAAACACAGCACUCUGCAAACACGAAAGUGGACGUAUAGGGUGUGAUGCCUGCCCGGUGCUGGAAGGUUAAUUGAUGGUGUCAUCGCAAGAGAAGCACCUGAUCGAAGCCCCAGUAAACGGCGGCCGUAACUAUAACGGUCCUAAGGUAGCGAAAUUCCUUGUCGGGUAAGUUCCGACCUGCACGAAUGGCAUAAUGAUGGCCAGGCUGUCUCCACCCGAGACUCAGUGAAAUUGAAAUCGCCGUGAAGAUGCGGUGUACCCGCGGCUAGACGGAAAGACCCCGUGAACCUUUACUAUAGCUUGACACUGAACAUUGAAUUUUGAUGUGUAGGAUAGGUGGGAGCCUUUGAAGCAGUGACGCCAGUCAUUGUGGAGGCGACCUUGAAAUACCACCCUUUAACGUUUGAUGUUCUAACGAAGAUGACGAAACGUGGUCUCGGACAGUGUCUGGUGGGUAGUUUGACUGGGGCGGUCUCCUCCCAAAGCGUAACGGAGGAGCACGAAGGUUUGCUAAUCACGGUCGGACAUCGUGAGGUUAGUGCAAUGGUAUAAGCAAGCUUAACUGCGAGACAGACAAGUCGAGCAGGUACGAAAGUAGGUCAUAGUGAUCCGGUGGUUCUGAAUGGAAGGGCCAUCGCUCAACGGAUAAAAGGUACUCCGGGGAUAACAGGCUGAUACCGCCCAAGAGUUCAUAUCGACGGCGGUGUUUGGCACCUCGAUGUCGGCUCAUCACAUCCUGGGGCUGAAGUAGGUCCCAAGGGUAUGGCUGUUCGCCAUUUAAAGUGGUACGCGAGCUGGGUUUAGAACGUCGUGAGACAGUUCGGUCCCUAUCUGCCGUGGGCGUUGGAUGAUUGAUUGGGGCUGCUCCUAGUACGAGAGGACCGGAGUGGACGCAUCACUGGUGUUCCAGUUGUCUCGCCAGAGGCAUUGCUGGGUAGCUAAAUGCGGAAGAGAUAAGUGCUGAAAGCAUCUAAGCACGAAACUUGCCAAGAGAUGAGUCAUCCCUGACUUUAAGUCAGUAAGGGUUGUUGUAGACUACGACGUAGAUAGGUCAGGUGUGUAAGUGUAGUGAUACAUUGAGCUAACAGAUACUAAUUGCCCGAGAGGCUUAACUAU